rnacentral:misc_RNA from 1 species
AGAUGAUUCGAGACAUGGGUG